AACAAACGAAUUAACACCUGUGACAUUAUGUCCUGUUAUUUUACAGAAAUUCCCUACACCGGCUCAAGUAACCUCCGUCAAGAACGGUGCUUGUACAUUCCAAGUUUUGUGGAAUGAAUCUUUCCCACUCCAAUUUUAUCUGUUGAAAUAUGCAAUCUUAAGAAGUAGGGAAUUGAAAAUCGAAACUUAAGCCUCCUCAUGAAACCGCACCCGAAACCUGUGCUUGUAUAUUAUAAGGGUUUGUCUGUGGAUUUCCAUUGAUUGCAAGCCUGCGCAGAUUUCCUUUCUCUCAUAGCAUGGAAUCCUUGAAUGAGGCCGUGAUUAUUGGACUUGGGAUUAUCUUCUUCUUCUAUUGCUUCCUCUAUAAGCUGAGGGUUGGGAGGAAAUUGAAAUUGCCCCCAGGACCACGUCCAUGGCCUCUCAUAGGAAGCCUCCAUCUCUUGGGAAACCUUCCUCAUCAGUCUCUUACGGCGCUGGCAAAGAAAUACGGAUCCAUUAUGUUUCUCCGUUUGGGCUCCGUUCCCACUGUUGUGGUCUCUUCUCCUGCCAUGGCUAAAGAAUUCCUCAAAACGCAUGAUUUGGCCUUUGCAACUAGACCAAAUUGUACACUGGGGAAAUACAUAUGCUAUGAUCAUAAUAACGUUUCGUUUGCCCCCUAUGGAGCGUCCUGGAGGCAGGUGAGAAAGCUGUGCACGGUGGAGCUGCUCACAGUGAAGAGAAUCGAUUCUUUCAGAUUCGUAAGAGAGGAGGAAGUGUCUGUCAUGAUCUCCUCCAUCUGGCACGAAAGCGGGCGCGGAGCGCAGUGUGUGGAUUUGAAGAAGAGUCUCUCCUCCGUUACUCGAAAUAUUACCUGCAGAAUGUUUGCCAGCAGGACGUACUCCGACAACGAAUUGAGUGGAGGGCAUGGCUUCAAACAAAUGGUUGAGGAAAUUUUCGCUGUGGCCGGUACAUUUUGCGUUGGUGAUUUCGUUCCUUUUCUCGAUUGGCUCGACUUGCAAGGAAUUCGUCGUCGUAUGCAGGCUGUUCACAAAAUAUAUGAUGGAUUUCCUGAGAAAGUAAUCGACGAGCACGUUCAUCGUAGAUUGGGAAAAGGAGAUCCCAAGGAAGAAGAUCAUGUUAAAGACAUGGUAAACGUGAUGCUGGACAUGAUCGAGACGGAGGGCCAAACAAUCUCACGGGUCCACAUCAAAGGAAUCAUCUUGGACAUGUUAAGUGCGGGAAUCGAAACAUCGUCGACAACAGUAGAGUGGGCUAUGAGUGAGCUGCUGAGGAAUCCUGCAACCUUGGCUCGAGCACAGAAAGAGAUCGAAUCAGCAGUGGGCAGAGACCGCAGAAUAAAGGAGACUGAUGUCAUGAGCUUCGACUAUUUGCGAUGCGUGGUGAAGGAAACUUUUCGACUUCAUCCGCCAUUUCCUCUGCUCAUUCCACACGAGUCGGUAGAAGGGUGCAGUGUCGAAGGAUAUUUUGUUCCGCCAAAGACGAGGCUGUAUGUGAAUGUGUAGGCGAUUGGAAGGGAUGAAAACGUUUGGGAAGAUGCUCAUCAGUUUAAGCCCGAGCGUUUCAUGGGUAGUAACAAGGAUGUGAAAGGUCAGGACUUUGAUUUGCUGCCGUUCGGAACAGGAAGAAGAGGAUGCCCUGGGAUUUCAAUGGGUGUUUCUGUUGUUGAGUUGGCACUUGCUCAGCUUCUUCAUUGCUUUGACUGGAUUGUGGAGGGUGAGGUGGAUAUGGCGGAAGAUUUUGGAUUAACUGUUCCCAGAAAAACUCCACUGCUUGUCCGCCCUUCAUGGAGGCUCACGGCUGAAUAUCCUAUUUAAGAGAGUGCUGUCUGAUUCAUGUAGUACUUCUGUAAAGCGUUUUUAAGUAUUUCCCAUUGUCUUAGCUAAUAAGUUCAUAUGCAUCACCUAGUCGACAGCUCCCUCGAUCUUCGAAUUCAUUUAUCAUAUCUAAUUCAGAACAAACCCCAGUAAAAUAUGUAUGGAAAGCCUAUCCACAAGGUUUAUCAAAAGGAAAGUGGUUGGACUUGCACACUACACAUUAAGCAUGGAAA